UACGUAGGGAGCGAGCGUUGUCCGGAAUUACUGGGUGUAAAGGGUGCGUAGGCGGUUUGGUAAGUCAGAAGUGAAAUCCAUGGGCUUAACCCAUGAACUGCUUUUGAAACUAUCGGACUUGAGUGAAGUAGAGGUAGGCGGAAUUCCCGGUGUAGCGGUGAAAUGCGUAGAGAUCGGGAGGAACACCAGUGGCGAAGGCGGCCUACUGGGCUUUAACUGACGCUGAGGCACGAAAGCAUGGGUAGCAAACAGG
rnacentral:rRNA from 2 species